UGCGGGUGGCUGCGUCAAUGUGAAAGGCUCCUCAUGCAGAAGCCGAUAGAGAACACUAGGCCUGAUCGUGAUCGUUUGUGGCACGAGAUUAAUACGGAAGUGGCGAUGAAAUCGUUACGGAGGGAGUACGUUGGGGAGGCCCAUAAGAUAUUGUACAAGGAGCUGUGUAAGUUGAGGAACGAAUGCUCAAAGAACCAGCACUACAGCUGCUAUACCUCCAUAGUACAGGGUUCUGGCACGGGGAAAACACGCGGGGUGAU